UACACGGCUCUUUUCAGAGCCACACAAUUAACCUUAUGAAAGAAC
rfam:Ailuropoda melanoleuca scaffold2498_17, whole genome shotgun sequence.